rnacentral:rRNA from 1 species
UACGGGGGGGGCAAGCGUUGUUCGGAAUUACUGGGCGUAAAGCGCACGUAGGCGGCUCUUUAAGUCGGGGGUGAAAUCCUGGAGCUCAACUCCAGAACUGCCUUCGAUACUGGAGAGCUCGAGUCCGGGAGAGGUGAGUGGAACUGCGAGUGUAGAGGUGAAAUUCGUAGAUAUUCGCAAGAACACCAGUGGCGAAGGCGGCUCACUGGCCCGGUACUGACGCUGAGGUGCGAAAGCGUGGGGAGCAAACAGG